CGGGGUGCCCGCGGUCGGCGUCGCGAUCGUACGGGCGGGUCGCGCUGCGGCGUGAAACGGCGCGUUUUCGAGGGAGAGCGGCUGAAAGAUGGGUGAAGUGAGUUCCACGUGGGGAUGAACGGACUCCUCGCGAAACCCCGGCUGAGUCCGACAGAAAUCAGUCGGUGCUGCGUGCGAGAACGUCUCGUUUACACUUCGCAAAACAGCCGGUGGUUUUCUGAGCGCAAUACUGAGCAAAACUCCUUUGAUCGCUUCAGGGCUGAAGGGAGCCUCGCUUGCCGGGGCACAGUGGGGAGGGACGGGGAGCCCAACCCCCCGUGGCACCGGGAAUGGGAAGAAAGCGGGGUUUUGUGUGGCCUCAGCUGCGAGAGUAGAGAGCGUCACUGGCGGGAGAGCAGCAGCCCUCAGCCCGCUGAGGGAUCCCAGCGCGCUCCAGAGCAGCGGGGUCACGGCCGCGGCCAGGCGAGGUGCUGCUUCUCCCCUGGCAGCACGAGAGAAUCCAAAGCUGGGAACACCAGGUCCCUUCGUGUGCAAGAUUAGUCUUUUCUUGCCUGCUGUAUGUUUAAAAUGUAAUGUGUUCUGAACCUUCUGGGACCUAACUCGCAGCUCCACAGGAUUCUGUUACCGAUGAGUCCGCGUGCGCAACCUCUCAUCAAACGCAAGAGGUGCUCCCAGGAUCUCAGCAUCUCUCUCCCAUGGCAGGGACGGGAUAGGCAGCACGAGGGGAAGUUGCUUAUAAGCACCGUCGUGUAGCGUCAGAGCUGCAGGUUUGAAAGCUCUGAGAGCCAACCUCACAGAACCUUCCUGCUCUGAAGCACCAGCACCUUGCUCAUUCACAAAAUCACUCUGAGGAAGAAGGCAAAAUGAAUUUUUGCAUUAGGGACACAUCACUGGUUUCUCCGUAGUGCUGAUAACACAACUUUAGUGAAAAUCUCGGACCUUUUGCUACACAGAAUAACCAUGUUGCCCUGAAUGGUUAUUGUUUAGUGAAACAUCUGAAAACACAUAAUAGACUACUUGUUUGCAACGCUUGCUAUAGAUUUUGUAAUGAAGUGCCGUUGCGCUGCAUCAAUUUGACAGUUCGAGUUGAUAAUUUGACAGAAAGAUUAAUCCUAAACUCCCAGCAUAAACAGAAUUCCCUUUAAUGUCAGAAGGGACUUUGUAACUGCCAGCCCAAACGCUGCGGAUGGGCUUCAGCAGGUUACAGAGAGCGUCUUCAGGAUCAAAUUUGACAUUCCUCUUCCUGACUAACAGUUGGUAGUUGAAAAUAGAACACCUCUCCCAGUUCUGAAUUCUGACCCUCACUUCUUGCUCACCCAAACCGAGGACUUCCAGACUUCUUUUCCCAAACGCUCACCGCGAAGGCUUUUGAAUGCAGAUGUUCACUCGUGUCUCCUGACAGUAGGCUCAGUUUUCUCAGCUACUUUUAGUAAGCUCCUAAAAACAGCCCACGGUCCCUCAGAACCUCAUCAACAACUGGCUAAAAGCCACGGUCUCACUGUAUCCUUUUUUCUUUUGGUAUCUACUGCAGACUUUGGACGGGUACAGAAGUUCUACCUCUCUGGGUCCAGGUCUCUCUGUCUGACAGCACAUUAUUUCUGCAGCUGUCACAUGUCCUCAUUUUCUAGAGCUGUUAUUACCUUUACAUAAUACGUAUUAUUAUAUUACAUAUUCUUCAGAAGUUGUUCUUCCAGUGGCAACAUAUGGAGGACCAUCAACCGUCAAGACGGAAGUUCAUGCAACUGUCAAGACUGAAUUUCAUGCAUUCAGAAUGCUUAGGCACCAUCUGACACUCGUAGGCCAACCAGCCAUUCCGUGCAUACAGAAACACGCCUGUGAACUUCUCCCUGCAGUCAGCUCCUUCAGCUCCCCACUUCCACGCCAGUGAUGUUAUUUCACCCACACCUUGCAGAAGGGGCGCAUUCCACUCAUUCCUGAGCUGGGACGAGCGCCCGCAGCAUUACUCACCCACAGCAGUGUCUGUAGAUCCCUGUCUGCUGUGGAUACUAAUCUCAAUCCAGAGCUUCCUCAGACGAUUAGAGGCUGUUCUGCAAAAUGUCAAUACGCAGCCUCUCCGAAGCCAACACGGUGUGGUGGUUGAAAUGGGAGCCGUGGAGGCUUUCCAAAUAUGAAGGUCUGGAAAUGUUUGGAGGUAUUUUAAUAUUGAUGAAUACUUCAGAUUUUUUUUUUUUUUUUCUGUUGCUUCGGUGUAUCAGUGUCAAAUCUGUGUGGAUUAAUGGCAAGACAGUGCCCUAGUACCAUUCGUGUCUAUCAAAGUUCUGGCAAAUGCUAACAACUUACUGCUAUUAAUGAUCACUCUUUGCCCAGAAGUUCACAUAAUUCAUCAAAAAGCCAACAUUGAUAAGCAGAAAGAAAUUAAAUACUUCUGAGUCUUCUGUUAAAAUGCCUUUCUUUUUACUUUGUUUAACAUCUAAUGUCUCCUAUGGCAAAAGUAAGUAAGGGGAAGUCUUUUCCUUCUUCAGCAUGAAAGAGCACCCACACCACUCAAAAACAGUUGAGAUUAAACCUUUGAAAAGGUAUCAGCAGUGUGUGUAAAGCCAAAUUGGUAAAGUGUGCUCUAGACACCACUUUUGACUCUGGGGAAAAUGCUUUAUCAUCUGUCUACUGCUAUGCUCUGCCUAUUCAUCACCAUUACUCAGUAACUCUGCGGUGGCAGCUUUGUACUUAACAUGAAGCCAAAGAUCAGGGAGAGGCACACAUCAAACAAGACUUGAACUUGGAGAUGGCAAACCAUACGUUCUAGACCUCAUUCCUUUAAAGGACCGUACCUCGGAAUGAAACCUGUGAGCCUUCUCUAUAGUUUCAUUUGUUCAAUACAGUGCUCCACUUGUUCUGUAAAAGAAGUUGGCAAAAGCCCUGCUCUCCUGAGAUCUUGUCAUUCAUUGUGACUGAAACCUAAAAGGCUGCCCUAUGGUAGUAGGGCAGGUCUGGGGUACCCGAGAGACCUACCUGCUCCCUGUGCCUCCAUUCCACAUUCUUCACACACCUUGAAACCAAGGAACUGUCAAACACAGAAGCAAAGAUGGUGAGGGGUGUACACCCCCAUUCUUUGCAGCUUUCCAUGGCUGUAAAGCUCCCUGUGAAGCGACCUGAGAAUAUGUACAAUGACAGAAAACUCAUUUCUUCACCCGCCAUUUCCCAACAACAGCCAGUUCCAGCCCUUGUCAUUCUUCUACUUCUCCACACAGACGAAGGCAGGAGAGAAUUCUCUUGGUUUAACUUUAAUAAAUGGGUAAGUCUCACAGGCAUUACAAUGGUAGGAGGAGGUGCAGAAAAGUUGUGUGUGGUUGGGAUACGAUGGAAAUUUCUCUGUUAUUUUAAAAUUAUUUCUACCUUUAUAAUAGAUCAUUUGUGCCUAUAUACUCCUGAAAAUGCUUUUAUAGCAAUCUACAUCAAGUUCUUCCUAAAAAGCAUCCCUCCUCUUUUUGUCUUUUUGUGAAGAAUAGAUUUUUUUUUUACAAUAAAGAUAGUGGUUUAUACAUUUGCUCAUAAUUCUGUAUUUCCCCCGUGAGCUUUAUUACAUGAUAUAGUAUGUCAGUUUAAGUAACGUCUGUCAAGGGAUGGAAAACAAUUACAGGUUCUUUUCAUUCAUGAAAGUCAUUCUGGAGUUUCUUCAUCCUUAAUUUUCUUGUCAUGCUUUCAAAAACAUUACAUCAUUUUGUCCAAAUUCCCCCCUGCAUUGCUUAUACAAGAUACAGUAGGUUAUUAAUUUCUAUCCUAGACCCAAAGAAACACAUCGAAGUAUCUACAGUCGCACGUACUACAUGUUUUAGACCUGGUUAAAGUUGGGCUUUGACAUGUCAUUAUUUGACAAUUACUCUUCUAUUGCAGUGCUUGCUUUCCUGCCAGCAUCUCACCAGAAUCCUGCAUGACAGAAUCAAAGAACAGCGGAGACUGAAAGGCUCUUGUGAAGAGGAACCUAACUUCCCUCCUCAAUGAUGGUGAGAAAUCAUAGGAAGAGACACAAGGAGGCGAAAUGUAUGUGCUUCACCCUGAUAGGAUGCAGCCACAAGGGCUGAGGAUGCUGGCAGAAGUGACUGCCAAACUACUCUCUAUCAUUUUUGAAAGGAGAUCAUGGAGAAUGGGAGAGGUGCCUGAAGGCUGGAGAAAAACUGAUGUCACAAAGGGCAAGAAGGAGGACCUGUGAAACUAAAGGCCAGUCAGCCUCACAUCCAUACCCAGGAAGGUGAUGGAACAACUUACAUGCAACCUGCUCUAGGGAAACUGCUUUAGCAGUGGCGUUGCACUAGAUGAUCUCCAAAGCUUCCUUCCAGCCCUGUGAUUCUGUGAUUGUGUGAUUCUGUGAUACUUUAGAAUGUCACUGUCCGAACUAGAACCCAGUUCUUAUGUCCUGUAGGACAGCCCUGCCACUGCUGGAACACGUAAUGUAAAAUUUUUGCUGGGGGAAAACAAGAGAGUCUCCCUUUGGACUAGCUUGACUUUGAGCUCACUCACGAAAAACCAAUGACCUUUGAAAGAAUACAGAGAUGGCACCACUGACAGAUUUUUCCCCAGUUGGCUGCAAAUAAAGUUUUUUGAAAUAACUGCUAAAGCUGUAAUUUAUCAGACUUUUUCACAGAUUCCACAAAAGCUAGGAAACUCGAAAGGCUUUCUCCAGGCAGAACAUGCCAGUCAUUUGUGCAUGAAUUGCAAGAGGGGAAAUUAUAUGUUUCUUUUAGAGCUGUUGUUGCCAUCGUGGAAAGUGAACAAGCAUCUGUGCUUCAGAAAUCAGUGGAAGGAAGGUGUUCCGUGAAAGAGAGCAUGUGGGAAAGCGACUUGAAAUUGUGAGAGUAUAUGAAAGUAGCAGGAGUUCUGAAUGCCACUGGGGAGAAGAACUGGAACAAGGCUGACACAUGGAAAGGUGGUGAGAAAGCAAAAAGAAAUGUAAAGAGGAAUAUACUGAAGGGGGAAAAAAGAGAGAGAGAGAGAGAGAGAGAGAGAGAAAAAUUUGGCUAGGGAAUAGGUCUGAGCAAAUUCCAAAAGUGAGAGAGGAACAGAAAAAGAAGGAAAAAAUAUAGGGCAGAUGGAAGGUUUAUCUGUUGGAUAACUGUGCA
ensembl:lncRNA